rnacentral:rRNA from 1 species
UAGUCCACGCCGUAAACGAUGUCUACUAGCCGUUGGGAGACUUGAUUUCUUAGUGGCGCAGCUAACGCAAUAAGUAGACCGCCUGGGGAGUACGGCCGCAAGGUUAAAACUCAAAUGAAUUGACGGGGGCCCGCACAAGCGGUGGAGCAUGUGGUUUAAUUCGAUGCAACGCGAAGAACCUUACCAGGUCUUGACAUCCUGAGAACUUUCUAGAGAUAGAUUGGUGCCUUCGGGAACUCAGAGACAGGUGCUGCAUGGUUGUCGUCAGCUCGUGCCGUGAGGUGUUGGCUUAAGUGCCGCAACGAGCGCAACCCCUAUUGUUAGUUGCCAGCGAGUAAUGUCGGGGACUCUAACAAGACUGCCGGCGUAAGCCGCGAGGAAGGUGGGGACGACGUCAAAUCAUCAUGGCCUUUAUGCCUAGGGCUACACACGUGCUACAAUGGGUGGGACAGAGGGUUGCCAAGCCGCGAGGUGGAGCUAAUCUCAGAAACUCACUCCCAGUUCGG